GGCAGGGCGGCUCAGUCACCUGGGCAGCUGGUACUGCUGAGAGGCAGGGUGGCAGGCUAUGGGCCGGAGCCCGCAGCUGCAGGAGGGGCCCGGGGAUCAUAUGUGACGGCUGCUUGCCCCUGCCCGAGGGCAGGCUGGCAGGGACGGCCAGAGGCAGAGGUGCUGUCCAAGCAUGCAGCAGGAGGGAAGGAGGCCCUGGGGAGCACUUGCUGUUUGGGCGCAGCAGGAAGAGCAGCUGCAGUGUCUACCGUCCCCUCAUCCUCCUCAGCUCCUGGCCGUUGCCUUUUAUUUUUCGGUUGUGUUAAACUUGUCUUCCCCACAGAUUGACCAGCUCACAAAAAUAGUGAACAAAGUAGAGUUGCUGGAGAUUUAGUGGUACAGAGAGGGAGCUUACCUGUGCUUCCCACGGCAAGCAACUCAAAUACUCCUUGAAGCUGCACUGUCCAACAAGGUAGCCACUGGUAACAUGCAGCUAUUAAAUCAAUUAAAAUGAAUUAUACUGAAAAAUUCAGUUCCUCAGUCUCAGCCACAUUCUAAGUCCCCUGGCCACCGUGUUGGACCGUGCAGACUUGGAACUCAUCCAUCACCACAGAGGGCUCCAUUGGGCAGCCCUGCCUCAGAUGCUCUGACACCCGGUCACUUCCCAUUCUUGGCACCUCCCGGUCUCUUCCCUCAGGCUCUUGCUCACGUGGGCCCAGACUCCUUGGCUCUCCUUCUCCCUCUCUGAUUCCUUUCCCACCACCUUCCUCUUUCCUGUCACAGAGAAACAACUUCCUGCUUCAUCUCAGACCUCCAAACUUCCACCUUCAAGCCCACCACGGGGCUCAGGACCCACUCUCUUUAAAGGCAGAGAAGGCUUAGACAGCAACAUGGACAUUUGUGUCUGUGUUAUACCUGCAGGGCUUUACAGUUUAUAUAAUCAUCUAAGAUAUCAGAAGAUGUAAGAUCUAUGUAAUCUAAACCUUUGCCAGGUAGAGAGGAUGGGUCUGUGUCCGUUGUGCAAUAGAAGUUAGGUUCACGCUGACUCCCUUGUUCAUAUGGCAGGUGUUUCUUGGGUGACUGCUGUGUACCAGGCAAGUCUGGUCAGUCUGGGGAAGGGUCCAGGCUCAAUGUGGGCCCUGGGGCUGGGAAGGAGGCAAGGUCCUACUGCUGGGGAUAGCAACCCACCGGAUCUCCCCAGGUGCAGGCCGUGAGGCUGAUCUCUGAGGGCAAAGCCCCCAGACUCCCUCAGCCUGAGGAAGGAGCCACCUAUGAGGGGAUUCAGAAGAAGGAGACGGCCAAGAUCAACUGGGACCAGCCGGCAGAGGCCAUUCACAACUGGAUCCGCGGGAAUGACAAGGUGCCGGGAGCCUGGACAGAGGCCUGUGAACAGAAACUGACAUUUUUCAACUCAACGCUGAACACUUCAGGCCUGGUGCCCGAGGGAGACGCUUUGCCCAUCCCAGGAGCCCAUCGGCCAGGGGUGGUCACCAAAGCAGGACUCAUCCUCUUUGGGAAUGAUGACAAAAUGGUUGGAGACAAGGCUGGAGUGCCCAGCACAGCACCCCUUGUGGGACGCCUUCAUCACUGCCUUCAUCACUGCAGGUCCGACCACAGGAACUGUGAAAUCCUUCUUUUGGCCGGGCGCAGUGGCUUAUGCCUGUAAUCCCAGCACUUUGGGAGGCCAAGGCAGAUGGAUCAUGAGGUCAGGAGUUCGAGACCAGCCUGACCGAUGUGGUGAAACCCCAUCUCUACUAAAAAUACAAACAAAAAUUAGUCGGGCGUGGUGGUGCGCGCCUGUAAUCCCAGCUAUUCAGGAGGGCUGAGGCAGGAGAAUCGCUUCAACCUGGGAGGCGGAGGCUGUAGUGAGCCGAGAUCGCACCACUGCACUCCAGCCUGGGCAACAGAGCAAGACUCUGUCUCAAAAAAAGAAAAGAAAAGAAAAGGAAUCCUUCCUUUUGCAGCUGCUGGUGAAGAACAUUCAGCUGGAGGAUGGCAAAAUGAUCCUGGCCUCGAACUUCUUUAAGGGGGCAGCCAGCAGUGUCCUUGAGCUGACAGAGGCAGAGCUGGUUACUGCGGAGGCUGUGCGGAGUGUUUGGCAGCGGAUCCUCCCCAAUGUCCUGGAGGUUGAAGACUCCACUGAUUUCUUCAAGUCAGGGGCCGCGUCUGUGGACGUUGUGAGGCUGGUGGAGGAAGUGAAGGAGCUGUGUGAUGGCCUGGAGUUAGAAAAUGAAGAUGUGUACAUGGCAUCCACCUUUGGGGACUUCAUCCAGCUGUUAGUGAGGAAGCUGCGAGGGGACGAUGAGGAGGGCGAGUGCAGCAUUGACUACGUGGAAAUGGCAGUGAACAAGCGCACUGUCCGCAUGCCCCACCAGCUUUUCAUUGGGGGGGAGUUCGUGGAUGCCGAGGGCGCCAAGACCUCUGAGACCAUCAAUCCCACUGAUGGAAGUGUCAUCUGCCAGGUAUCCCUGGCCCAAGUCACCGACGUUGACAAGGCAGUGGCCGCAGCCAAGGAUGCCUUUGAGAAUGGACGGUGGGGGAAGAUCAGCGCGCGGGACCGGGGCCGGCUGAUGUACAGGUUGGCAGAUCUCAUGGAGCAGCACCAGGAGGAGCUGGCCACCAUUGAGGCCCUGGAUGCGGGUGCCGUCUACACGCUGGCCCUGAAGACCCACGUGGGCAUGUCCAUCCAGACCUUCCGCUACUUUGCUGGCUGGUGUGACAAGAUCCAGGGCUCCACCAUCCCCAUCAACCAGGCCAGACCCAACCGCAACCUGACCUUGACCAGGAAGGAGCCUGUUGGGUGAGUUCCUGCCCAGGGCGAGGUGCAGCCUCGCGGUGCUUUCCAUGCAGUACACGGAACUGUAGCACAGCCUGCGGGAGCUCACAGCACCCUGUGCGUGCAUUUAUCAAACAGCCAUCCGUGUGCUUCUUGAGCACCUGCUCCAUGCCAGGCACUGUUGUAAGGACUUGAGGACAAUUGUAUUUAAUCUCCCAGUAACACUGGAUCAGUCAGGUCCAGGGUGGGAAACAAGAGUAAACCCAAAAAAUGUCCAAAAUGGGUAUGGUGGUCAGUGUUCAUAAAGAUGAGGAACUCCUGCACAGCACUGAGGAACAGGAAAUAUAGAACAAAGGAGGAACAGGCAGAGGACGAGAGCCGCUCAGCAGGAGGAGUUCGGACCCCGCUGGAUGCCAAGCAUGUAGGCGCCGGGAAAUGAACCUGGCGUGAGGCACCUCACCUUGCCACCCAGUGGCCCCAGGGCAGGAUUGGGGAGAAGGGCUUGGAACACAGCCACCGGACUCUGGGUUUUCCCUGCUAGAGGAAACUGGGCAGUGACCUCUCGAGGCCAUACAUCCUGAUUUGGCCCCAGUCCUGGUGAGUUACUCACACGCGUGCCUGAGGAGGCUUACCCAAGAGUGCAUGGCCACUGUGCUUGGCUGGUGACAGCAAACACCAGAGCAGCAGGUGCUGGUGCAGCCCUGAUCCAUGAUCUGCACUGAGGAUGCGCCUGCAACUGGACCUAGAGAGCCCCAGCCCUGGGUCCACCCUCACUGCGCCUGCACGCGGUGCCACAGGAGAGCCUGGCCAGGGUGACCUGGGAGCAGGGCCCAGCUGGCAUGAGCACCACAGUCAUUCCCACCUGCUCUGUGCCCCUUGCAGGGUAGGGGACCUCACAGCUGUGGGCAUGGCCAAAGGCCCCUCAGCUCCACCUGAAUGUUGGAGUAUUUGCAAGGAGAACGUGCUCCAAUGUCCCUGUGUCACUGACAGCUCAUGCAGAUGAACAACCAACUCCUCAAGCACGGGCUGGAGGAGGCUCCUGUGGGAAAGUGGGCUGUGGACCCUUAGAGCCCCAGAGAGGAGCCAGGCUGCAGGUGGAGGCAUCGCCUCCAGAGUCCCCACAGAGGACAUCGGGCAAGGUCUGCACAUGGUUUUGGUUGUCCCAACAGAGGGGGUGAUAGAGUACAGCCCCCACAACAAAGAACUGCCCCGCCCCAAAUGUCAGUAGUGUGGGAGCCAAGAAACCCUGCUAUGGGGCAGUGGUCAGAGACCUUUGUCGUGCUUUGAAAGGGGCUGGGCUGGGCUGGGCAGGGCAGGGCGGGUCGUGGCCCACCUGGGGCCACAGUUCAGAGCCACACUUGGGUCUUUGAGGCUGCCCACCCUCCCAGCUGCCAGCAUGGGGUUGGGGGGUGUCCACCCCCAUCAGACUGAGGAGGAAACGGACACUGUGUCACCCAGAAGCAUCCCUAUGUCACCCUGUGAGGCUGGCCUUGGACCCAGGACUCUGGGCGCCUGGUCAGCACCCCAGUGUGAACACAUCCUGCCCUGGGGCCUGGUCCCAGCAGCUCACACAGACCAGGGCUUGCCCAAAGGCAGGUAGGCAGGGCCACUGCUGACCAUGCACCUGGUGGGCCGUGAUUCUGGAACUAAUGGUCUCUGCCUGGCAGGGAGGCCGCCAGGGCCUCUGGGCUUCACCCCUCCCAACCUUCACAGGGGACCUCACCUCAGUGGGAAUGUUCUGGAGCCGGAACCCAAGGUUGGAAUCCCAGCUCCUCCCCUUUCUAGGGCAAGCUCCCAGCCUGUCUGUACUCAGUCUCCCCAACUGUCAAAUGGUAAUAAAACAGUCCUGUCCUCA
rnacentral:sRNA from 1 species